UACGAGGGGGGCAAGCGUUGUCCGGAAUUAUUGGGCGUAAAGGGCGCGUAGGUGGUUGAGUAAGUCAGGUGUGAAAGCUCUGGGCUUAACCCAGGAAUUGCAUCUGAUACUGCUCGGCUUGAGUACGGUAGAGGAGGGUGGAAUUCCCAGUGUAGCGGUGAAAUGCGUAGAUAUUGGGAGGAACACCGGUGGCGAAGGCGGCCCUCUGGACCGAAACUGACACUGAAGCGCGAAAGCUAGGGGAGCAAACGGG
rnacentral:rRNA from 1 species